rnacentral:rRNA from 1 species
CCUACGGGUGGCAGCAGUGAGGAAUAUUGGUCAAUGGACGAAACUCUGAACCAGCCAAGUAGCGUGAAGGAUGACGGCCCUAUGGGUUGUAAACUUCUUUUAUACGGGAAUAAACUGUGCCACGUGUGGCUUAUUGUAUGUACCACAUGAAUAAGGACCGGCUAAUUCCGUGCCAGCAGCCGCGGUAAUACGGAGGAUCCGAGCGUUAUCCGGAUUUAUUGGGUUUAAAGGGAGCGCAGGCGGACUGUUAAGUCAGUUGUGAAAGUCUGCGGCUCAACCGUGGAAUUGCAGUUGAAACUGGCGGUCUUGAGUGCAGUGGAGGUGGGCGGAAUUCGUGGUGUAGCGGUGAAAUGCUUAGAUAUCACGAAGAACUCCGAUUGCGAAGGCAGCUCACCGUACUGCAACUGACGCUGAGGCUCGAAAGUGUGGGUAUCGAACAGGAUUAGAUACCCCUGUAGUC